rnacentral:rRNA from 1 species
ACGAACGUUGGCGGCGUGGAUUAGGCAUGCAAGUCGAACGAAUGCUAGCCUUGUAGCAAUACCGGGCUAGCGGAAGUGGCGAAAGGGGCAGUAAUGCAUGGGUAACCUACCUUGGGGAUGGGCAUAGCCGUUCUAACGAGCGGGUAAUUCCCAGAGAUUCGGCGGGAGGGCAUCCUUCUACCGGGAGAUGAAUUUCGCCUCGAGAGGGGCCCAUGUGCUAUUAGCUAGUUGGUGAGGUAACGGCCCACCAAGGCUAAGAUGGCUAGCGGGUGUGAGAGCACGACCCGCGCCACUGGCACUGAGACACUGGCCAGACACCUACGGGUGGCUGCAGUCGAGGAUCUUCGUCAAUGGGCGCAAGCCUGAACGAGCGACGCCGCGUGCAUGAUGAAGGCCUUCGGGUUGUAAAGUGCGAAAGUGGGGAGAAAGCCGCAAGGUUGAUCAAUCCACAGUAAGGACGGGCUAAGUUCGU